AUGCUGAACGUAUAGUGAAUCAGUUUUCUUUUCUUUAUAUUUUUUUGUCAGAUUUGCAUGAUAAUAUAGUAUUUGUUGGCGAUGUCUUGUUAAAGUUGAAACCUACGGAAAGUUUUAGCGCAUGAACUUCGCACCCGAAAUAAGAAGGGUAACAUAUUUUUGUAUCCCAUCGAACCUGGUCAAUUUAUAUAUUUUAAAAUAGACGUGAUACACACAGAAUUCAGACAACUACAGAAUUAUGUAAUUUACAACAGUAAAUUAAACAUAGUCUUUCAAAAAGUACAUAAGCUUUAUAAAGCAAGUAGUACAUUAUAUCGAAUGUGAAAUUGACAUCUUAGUCACCAUGAAACAAUUAAAAGGGACUCUCAAUAAGAUAUCGUUAAUAUAAUUAUAAGUAUCGCCUGUUAAAAGCAACAGAUAUUUUGCCACGAACAUUUUUAGCUCGACUUUUUCUUCUUUUUUUAAAGUAGAGGUAUUGCUAAAGUCGCGGCGGCGUUGCCGUUGCCGUCCGCAAACUUGUACCUGGAUCAUACCUUUUUUAUUUCUUAGUGUAUUGUCUUCAUACUUGGCCACAACAACCCUUGGGACAAGACCUUUCAGUAGACCACACUUACCUUGACCUUCAUCUAUUAAUGACCUUGACAUUCAAGGUUAAAAAUCCAAAUUUUGCUUGUUCUUGCUAUUAUCGGCUGUAACUUUGUUAUUUUGGAAUUGAUUGUCUCCAAACUUGAACAUAAUAAUCUCUAAGGAUAUCCCUUAGAAAUGAUCAGACAGACCUUGACCUUCACUCAUAAAUGAUCUUGACUUUGAAGGUCAAACUAUUGAAAUUUUCAUUGUUUUUGCUAUUAUUGACUGUAACUUUGUUAUUUUUGAAUGGAUUGUCUUCAAACUUGUACAUAAUAAUCUUCAAGGAUAACUCUUAGAAAUGAUCCGACAGACCUUGACCUUCACUCAUUAAUGACAUUGACUUUGAAGGUCAAAUUAUUGAAAUUUUCAUUGUUUUGGCUGUGACUGACUGUAACUUUGCAAUUAUUGAAGAAUCAACUUCAUUUUAUAACAGAACAUUCUUAAGGACCAGGGUGCCGUUUUAUCAACGGUCGUACGCCCGGUCGUAGCUAAGAUUUGGUCGUACGACCGAUCUUACGGCUACGUCGCGUUUUAUCAACAUAUGGUCGUAGCUAAGACGUCGUAGAUUAAAGUCGUAACUUUAAGGCUGCUUCAGACCAGUCGUAAGUAGGCUAAAGAUCUUAAAAAUGGCGGCCAUUUUUGCAUAAUUCCCGAUAGGAACUUUCAAACACAAAUAUUUGAACAAUUGAAGUUUUCAACUAACGUAGGUUUUCCGCGUACAUGUUUAUGUACAGUGCUGAUCCUAUUUUAACAUCCCAGGGCAGGGACGCAACUAUCACUUCCAGUUUAAUCUCUGGAUAAUUUCCACGAAGAAGCUAUGACCUUUCAAUGAAGUUGCUACAGUAUCUAGGUGAAAGACAUGUGUUAAUAAUGUGAAAUCAACACAUGGCAACAUUAUGUUAACCUACAGUACAGUGCUGUAAUGGGAAUGCAAAUGAAAUUGGAGCACUGUUGUUUGGUAAAGCAUGUAUAUGAUUGCGAAAUGAGCAUCUUUAGAUCCAAUUUGGUGUAUCACAUGAACAGAAGAUCGUAAACAAAGGACAAGUAACUUGUGCAGACAGAUAUAAGGCAGCAUGAAUAGUUAGUACUUGGUGCAUCUGCUGAUCAAUGUGUUUGUAAAAGAGGACAUUAACAAUGAUGAGGCUGUAUAUCACCAGGACUACUGCUGAAUUAUGAAAGGUUUACAGCUAAACAAUCCUAUGGUUGGAAUCAAUAUCCAGGGACAGCUCUCCCUUAAAGGGGCCAAGUGUUGUGACCUUGUUAUAUGGCCAACAAAGGAAUAAAAGUCCUAAAGAUAGUUAUGAAGAAAGUUAUAUAGACUAUUAAACAUUUCAUCAAUUUAUAUUGAAUAAAGUACAUUAUGUAUAAUUUAAUACAUUCCAUAAUAACUUUGUUUCUACAUGCACAUGAAUAAAAAUAACACUUGAGUAUGGUCACAAAGGGUCAGUGAUGUACAAUUAUUACCCUGAAUGCAUGUAAGAAGCUUUAUGUGAAUGUUUUUUUAUUAAUGAUUAAUGAAAACAUAUACAUAGGUUAAGGUCUUUAAGUUGUUUCUGAGUGUAUACCUUGGAUGGUACUUGUUUGUACUGACUGUAUAUUCACUAGUCUUCACUAGUCUUAAGUUCAAAACAAUAGCUAUUAAUGUAUGUCAAAAUCAAAUAUUUAUAUUUCUUGAAGUGAUAACUUAACUGAAUCAUUCUCUUGAAUAACAUUAUGAAAUGUUUGAUUCAUGUUCAAAACUUGAAAGGAAAACACAGCAAAAUGAUGUUCUUCUCUGUAUUCAAUUUGAUUAAAGUGACUUUACAAAAACAAAGAUUCAUCUGAAAGUAAAAUGACAUGAGAUAAUUCAAUGUAAAAUAUGUGUUUAUAUUGAUAUUUAUUGUUACUUAAAUGCAUUAAAAAUUGUUGGAGUAAAUAUUAAAAACACAAAGAAAAUAACACAAAAGGGACAAUAAUGAAAAUAAACAAUCUUAAUGUAAAGCUGUGAAACUUUCUACAGAGUUCCCUGGAAGUGACAUUUUAUAUUUAAUGUGCUAAAUUUAUUAAUUUCAUAACUGCUCUUGUCUUGUCUGAAUAGUACCCUGUGUCUGUAAAAACAUAUUGUUUUUAUAUUGUUAUCUAGUUUCAAGAUUGUUUUCUAGCAGAUAUGUACAUCAAUUCUAAACAGGUAUUGUUAAAAAUUAAUAUGAAUUAGAAAAAUUGUAACAUGUCAUUUCAAUGUCAUAAUUUUCUUUGCAAUAUGUAUUCAUUGUCAUACUGGAAUAAUAAUAAAAGACUUUGUAACAUU